rnacentral:rRNA from 1 species
CCUACGGGAGGCUGCAGUGGGGAAUAUUGGACAAUGGGCGAAAGCCUGAUCCAGCCAUGCCGCGUGUGUGAAGAAGGCCUUCGGGUUGUAAAGCACUUUCAGUGGGGAAGAAAGCCUUGGGGCUAAUACCCUCGAGGAAGGACAUCACCCACAGAAGAAGCACCGGCUAACUCGCGUGCCAGCAGCCGCGGUAAUACGGAGGGUGCGAGCGUUAAUCGGAAUUACUGGGCGUAAAGCGCGCGUAGGCGGUCUGAUAAGCCGGUUGUGAAAGCCCCGGGCUCAACCUGGGAACGGCAUCCGGAACUGUCAGGCUAGAGUGCAGGAGAGGAAGGUAGAAUUCCCGGUGUAGCGGUGAAAUGCGUAGAGAUCGGGAGGAAUACCAGUGGCGAAGGCGGCCUUCUGGACUGACACUGACGCUGAGGUGCGAAAGCGUGGGUAGCAAACAGGAUUAGAUACCCCGGUAGUC